UGCAUUAUAUAUUUGAUUAUAGUUUUCGUCACAUGACCACCAUUUAUGUUGCGUCUCGUCUCGUUUCCUUCGCGUGAUAAAGGUUCGUUGACGACGAUAUUUAGUCAUACUUUUCGCUGAUAAAACAGCACUAGAAGGGAAACUGACCUCUUUGCUCGAUGGAUUAAUACACGAUUGCUUGGGGGAACUGGCCCUGAGCCAGCUACCAAUGCUACUUCCACCAACAGUGUACAAAGCUGACACCAUCAAGGAGUCCAAAUUGGCAUUUAUCGACCAUAAGCCUCCUCAACCACUCGGGGAAUGGGCCUAAACCCAGCCAUCUCACACUUUGGCAGCUGUCACCCAAAAGUUGGUUAGUUACUCAGGAAGAAGGAAUGGAAGUUGAUGCUCCUCCAGAUCCACCUCCACCUCUGCCUGGACAUGGGAAAAAAAAGGAAGAAGCAGAAGAAGAAGGAAAAAGUGGAGGGGUCGUAUGACAUUCCCCAUGCCCAUAAUGUGGAAGGAGGAGGGAUCUUCUGAUGGGACCAUGAUCAUGGAGAGAGAAGAAGAAAUCAAAGAG